rnacentral:rRNA from 1 species
UACGUAGGCAGCGAGCGUUGUUCGGAAUUACUGGGCGUAAAGAGUGUGUAGGCGGUGUUCCCAGUCUAUUGUGAAAUCUCCCGGCUUAACUGGGAGGGUGCAGCGGAAACUAGAAUGCUAGAGGGUGGGAGAGGUAAGCGGGAUUCCUGGUGUAGCGGUGAAAUGCGUAGAUAUCAGGAGGAACACCUGUGGUGUAGACAGCUUACUGGACCACUUCUGACGCUGAGACACGAAAGCGUGGGUAGCAAACAGG